CUGCUGGCUGCAGCAGCACAGAUGCUAACACUGGAAUGAUACAGAGAAGAUUAGCAUGGCCGCUGUGCAAACAUGACAGGUAAACUCAUUCUUUUAAUUUUUU
rnacentral:snRNA from 1 species